ACGGGAAGGCAGCAGUGGGGAAUAUUGCACAAUGGGCGAAAGCCUGAUGCAGCUAUGCCGCGUGUAUGAAGAAGGCCUUAGGGUUGUAAAGUACUUUCAUCGGGGAGGAAAAAACAAAACUAAUAAUUUUAUUUCUUGACGUUACCCGAAAAAGAAGCACCGGCUAACUCCGUGCCAGCAGCCGCGGUAAUACGGAGGGUGCUAGCGUUAAUCAGAAUUACUGGGCGUAAAGAGCACGUAGGUGGUUUUUUUAAAGUCAGAUGUGAAAUCCCUGGGCUUAACCUAGGAACUGCAUUUUGAAACUGAAAUACUAGAGUAUCGUAGAGGGAGGUAGAAUUCUAGGUGUAGCGGUGAAAUGCGUAGAUAUCUGGAGGAAUACCUGUGGCGAAAGCGGCCUCCUAAACGAAUACUGACACUGAGGUGCGAAAGCGUGGGGAGCAAAACAGGGAUUAGAUACCCGU
rnacentral:rRNA from 1 species